CGGUUCCAGACCUUAACCCUGCUCUGCGCGGGAAGGUGGCGUCAUGGAACCCAGCGUGUGCUGGCCCCCUGCCCAGUUGUGUCCAUCAGGGGUUUCUUGUCAUGUCAAGGACAGGGCGCUGCGCGGUCGGUGGCACACACGGUGGAGGUGUCACCCAAAGAGCCUUCACCACAUCUCCAAUGCCCCUGUGGGGGGCCCGACCUGCAGGGGACUAGGCUCCAGCUCCAGGCUGGGCAAGUGGUCGAUCCAACUCCUAAAACCCGGAUGUCAGCAAAGGGACAGCAGCACUAUCAGAGAAUCUAACAGGAGAUGAGCAUUCAUGGUGAAUAGCUCAAAGAUGAGCGUGUGCAACAGGAAAUUUUGAGAUAUCCUGAGUAAUUACAGACUGCAGAUGUAGGCUUAAUUUGUCUCUCUACCAGUUUUGAUUAGAUGGUUAUGUAGAAACCCUUCACUCUACCACACCCAGACUGGGGAGUUCUGGGUGAAUGAGUAGAAAUGGAGCUUGUACUUUGAAAUAAUUAAUUCAAACAGAAGUGGAAAUAAAUGGGGGGAAAAAGGGAAUGUUGUUUACCUCUGAUGCUCUUGAGGUUGCUAAGAUCGUUCCUGAUGCCUUAUGAUUUCAUUGCAUUAGGGUAAGAUCAAAGAGGGAGAUAUUGUACUAACUUGAACCAGUACAUUUUCUUUAAGGAGAGGAGAAGGUCCUGGUGGAAAUGUCAAGACCCUACAAACUGCCUGGCCAAUUGACUUGAAUGUGUAAGUUUUCUCUGCUUCAGGUAUAUAGCUGCUAGCCUCGAAGCUAGACUCAGUGUUGCUAGAGGGAUUCCCUUUACCCAUUACAGAUAUAGCCAAUGUGAGAUUUUAGAUAGUCCGCAUCUUGUCUUUUACACUUUAUUUCAGUUAUUGCUAUGUCAAAGUAGCUUUUACAACACCUAUGCUGUGAAACCGAAUUUGUUUCAUGUCAUUAUCCUUUACAUUAUAGUAUUCUUUCCACAAAAGCAAAUAUAUGGCUCUCCCCAUCUAGAUUUAGCAUUGGAUUUUAAAAGCUUUACAGUUACCUACAUACACGGUAUAUCUCUACAUUUCAGCUGACAUGAGGCUGACCACAUUUUCUACGUAAUUUCCUUAGAAAUUUUACCUGUCACAGAGGCUGCAGUAACUUUACUCUGAUUGCCACUGUGUACAAUACAGCAAGAAUAGCUUUCAGUUAUUCUUUGAUUACUAGCAAAAUAAUUGCAUUUGUUCAAUAUACCACUCAUAGAAUAAUAUUUUAAAAAUAUAAGUGAAAUCAGUGCACUCAAUAUGUUUAUUAAAACAUAUGUUAUUAUAAAUGCAGUUAAAAUAUGUGAAUAUAUCAUAGAGAAGUCACCAAAAUAAAUACUCUGAGGGCUUGAUCCUCAGCUACUUUACUGGUAUCCCCUCACAAUGAGCUCUUUUUCAUUGCUUUCUUUUCCAACACAAGAGAAUGUGGCCAUAAAUAAUACAGUUUAUUUCAAUGCUCUUAGUACAGCAUGGGGUCAUAUAUACAUAAUCCUAUAGCUAAAUACAUACAGCUCUAGCUGGACUUCUAAUAUUGUAAAGCCCAAAGAGCACAUCAGAUAAUCUAGUUUGACUUCAACCAGAAGGCUGCUUGUUACAAAUUAAUGGUUAAUGCAGGAAAUAAGUCUGAAAGGGACCCUCUGUACCUUCUAAUGUUGCAUGUGACGUCUUUGCUGUCACAUGUAACUCAAGUAAAUAAAUAAUUUUUUAACUAAAUAUUUAUCUUUUUCCUAAGUUUUCUUGCUGCUAUUAACUGCACUGAAAACAGUUGCAAAAUUUCAUUCCUUGGAAGUGGAGAAUGCCAAAUUAUUUAUCAAUUUUCAAGCAAUUUCUUUUAUUAGUUUAGUUCUUAGUAUAGGAUUAUUUAUGCUGAUUUUUUCCUGGCCAGGGCUGCUUAUGAAUUUAGUUUUUCUUCUUUCUGAAGUUAACUGAUAAUUUGUUGUACCCCCUCCAGCCCUUUUAAUUUAGCCUCUGUUAUCACUAUUGUCCUUUUAUUUUAGCCACUGUUAUUUCUAGUCUCCUUCCAUAAGACAGGAAACUCUCACUGUUCUUCUGGUUAUCCCACUGAGCCAUUUGUGCAUAUGUUAUUUUGAAUUCCCUGUUGUUAAACAUAGGUGACUAGUUAGUACAUUCAAUUCAGAUCUUGUACAGUGUCUCUAAUAGAAGCAUAUGGGCCUGAUACAUCCCAAGAUUGUAUUUGAUCUUUUUUCAUGUACAAAUUAAAUUAGUAGCCUCAAAUCAGUGAGCUUUAAAUCAGUGUGAUCAGUUAAUAAUUUAGAUGUCCUUUGAUGCUUCUCAUUAAUGAAGCCAUCAUUAACAGCAAGAGUUCUUGAUUUGCCCAAACUGAACAACAUAAGCUCUUUGAACUUCGCUUCGAUCCACUUUCAAGUGGGAUUUUCAUCCAUAUACUGUUUUAAUGAAGAAGGCCAUCAACUCGCUUUACCCCUGUGUUGGAUAUGUUCCAUAGCUCUGUUCCAGCCCUCUGACGGCCAUGGCCCUGAGCACAUUACCCCUUUGCAAAAGUUUACUUGGCAGAAUCCAAGGUCAGCUCCUCCACUGAUAAGAGCAGUUGUGAGAAAAGCCAUAGCGAGGGCCUGCCUCUCCUUUCUCUUCAGAGCCACUUUUAAACUGAGCCCUUGUGCUGGCCCGUGCCUGUGCCAGCAGCUCUGUUUGCACCAUCCCGCAUCUCCACGAGUCUGGCCGUGAUCCAGACUUGCUGACUUGGCAUCCUAGCUUGGUCUCGGACCUGCCUUGCCACUGCAGCCCUGCUGGGUGACCACUGGGCUGUAUCUGACCCUGACCACUGUCUCUCAACCCAGUCUUGGCCGGGGGUUGCUGUUCUGCAUCCUGGCUCCUUGUUGGUGAAGUGACUGCUUUUAUCCACCUAAGUAUUGUGCUUAGCUCCUGGCACAUCUUCUGUUGCAGAGUAGCCAUCUCAUGCUGCUCCCUGGAACCUCCCGCCCCCAAACACAGGGCCCUCCUAAUUCCCUCAUAGUUUGUAUAUAAUGUACGUUUUUGGGUGGGCAAGCUUGAAGAAAAUGGUGGAGCAAACUAGAUCGAGACAUCUUGACACAAUAAGAGGAAUAGAGUGAAAUAAAGCAGAGAAAAAUUACCAACGGGGUGUACCUAACCUCUCUCUGAAUCUCACCUUGGUUGUGUGCAGGUUUUUGUUGCUUGUCUCCAUGGGAUGUUCAUCCUAAUGGUAGAGCACUUUGCAGGAGGCACUUCAUCUUUUUUCAUAUUUUUUUUAUAGGUUCUUGCACACUGGGGAACAGAUGUAAUACAAACAUUUCCCCUCCCCCCCCCGAAAAUUAUACCCACCAAUUCUUUACUAAGUUUGUACUUGUAGGAGGCCAACAAACCACUAGAUGGCGAACAGUUUCAGCAAGAUAAUGCGUGCGUAUUCAUAUGACCUUCUGUCCUCAGCUUCAUCAUUCUGUUUCUGUCGAGCUUCAUGAGCUGGACCUGUUGGAAUGAGUCCAGAGGAAGGCCAUGAAGAUCAUAGAAUCAUAGAAUCAUAGAAUCAGCUGGGUUGGAAGGGACCUCCGAGAUCAUCAAGUCCAACCCUUGAUCCACUAGCACUGCUGUUGCUAGACCAUGGCACUGAAUGCCACAUCCAGUCUCAUCUUAAAAACCUCCAGGGACAGAGAAUCCACUACUUCCCUGGGCAGCCCAUUCCAAUGUCUGAUUACCCUCUCUGUAAAGAAAUUCUUUCUAAUAUCUAACCUAAACCUCCCCUGGCACAACUUAAGACCAUGCCCUCUUGUCUUGCUGAUAGUUGCCUGGUGAUCAGAAGGCUGGAGCACCUCUCCUAUGAAGAGAGACUGAGUGUUGGGGUUGUUCACCCUGGAGAAGGCUCCAGGGAGACCUCAUUGCAGCCUUUCAGUACCUGAAGGGAACUACAAGAGAGCUGGAGAAUAACUUUUGACAAGGGAAUGUAGUGAUAGGGCAUGGGGGUAUGGCUUCAAACUGAAAGAGAGAUUAAGAUUGGAUGUCAGGAAGCAAGUUCUUUAGUCAGAGGGUGGUGAGACACUGGAACAGGUUUCCCAGAGAAGCUGUGGAUGCCCCAACUCCGGGAAUGUUCAAGGCCAGGUUGGAUGGGGCCCUGGGAAAUCUGGUUUAGUGGAAGGUGUCCCUGCCCAGGGCAGGCAGGCUGGCACUUCAUGAACUUUAAGGUGCCUUCCAACCCAAACCAUUCCAUGAUUCUGCGAUCGUCGAGGCCAUAGCGUGUAGUACCAUGACAAUUUAUAGAAAUCCGAGGUGAAGCUGACACAGUCCUUCUCCUCCCUGCCUCUCCCUCCCUUUUGCUUUUCUAGUGUGCAUGAGUCAGGUGUGGUGUAGAUUCAUAGAGGUGAUUUUCGCAAAAACUAACAGGAAAAAAAAAGGAAAGAAAAAAGAACAACAGUAAUUAGAGUCUUCAAUGAAAGAAAAAAGCAUUUCCAAGUGCAAAAGAUUGGUGCUGCCAAUGAAUUACAGCCUGAUAUCCACUCCUCUUGUCUACUGGUGCCCAAUUUUCUUUUCUGAAUAAUGCUGUUGUUAACUAUCAGUAACACAUUUUUGCUUUCUUCCCAGAAGUCCAUACAGUUGUUUUGUAAGAACAUAUGCAAUGAAGUGUAAAAAAUCUCUCCAUUGAGCAAGGAUGUUGAUUGCUGUAGAUGCUGCAAGACAUGCUGUGCUGUCAGUAGUGAGUGGACGAGUGAUGUAUGAGGUCCUGCAUGCUGGUCUUUACUACCUUUGAAAAAUACAUUUUGGAUAGAUGUCUACAAAGGAAUGCGUUUACUCUUACUGGUAGACUAUUGGUUUGUAAUGGGAAGCAGCUCAAUUACACAUGAGAAAGGCUUUGGUAUAAGAUUCUUGGAGAAAGCAUGAUACACAAAGGUACUGAGGCAGGAAGUUUAUAUGCCCACCAGGAGGCAUAGCAAGCACGGCUUCCGUCUUGCUCACAGCCCUGAACAUGCUGCACAUGCCAGCAGUGAAGGGAAGAAAAAAUGUUCAUCAGAUUUUUACAUCCAGAAGUAGGAAAUGGAGAGAUAUUUAGAAUAAAAAAUUAAAAUGUGGAUAACUGGCAAGAGGCUGAAUAAAAUGCAUAUAAGUCAAAAUGUUCU